rnacentral:rRNA from 1 species
GACAGAGGGUGCAAACGUUGUUCGGAAUUACUGGGCGUAAAGCGUGUGUAGGCGGCCAUAUAAGUCGGAUGUGAAAGCUCUGGGCUCAACCCAGGAAGUGCACUCGAUACUGUGUGGCUCGAGUACUGGAGAGGUUGGUGGAAUUCUCGGUGUAGAGGUGAAAUUCGUAGAUAUCGAGAGGAACACCGGUGGCGAAGGCGGCCAACUGGACAGAUACUGACGCUGAGACACGAAAGCGUGGGGAGCAAACAGG